ACCACCUCCCUCUGUCAGCGUUCCCGCAGAUUCCCCUGCUGUCGGCUCUCGUCACAUUCCCCAAUCUGUUAGCCUUCUGAUACCGGGGCCAGACUUGAAAGAAAGUCUUAAGGACGAGAGCUUAUACACUGUGCCAGAUUUUGUUAAAUAACUACGAGAUGUUGGUGCCAAUUUAUUGGUAAUUGUCCCUUCUGGCGCAGACUGUUGAAAGUCCUGGAGAAGCCUAAGCUCAAGAUCACUGCAAGUGUUAAUCUUCUUAUACUUAAGUUUCAGGUUCACAGGAUCCACUUGUGAGGCAUAGUGUGUGUUUAUACACAUAGUUGCAGCGUUGGCCACACAGAUCCAUGUGCUGGGGAAUCUGCCCUAGGGAGUCAGGUGGACAAGCACAGGAAAGGUGCACUCUCUUGAGGCCCACACUAUUUGGCAGGCCAGGCCUCCCUCAGGUGCUCAGACUGUUUUCCUGGAUACUGCUGGUUACCGAACCAGGACUGUUUCACUGACUUCGGCUUUGAUUCUCCUUAUGUACACUGUUGCUCCCUCGGCGUCGGCUGGCAUCAGCUCAACAUCA